rnacentral:rRNA from 1 species
UACGGGGGGGGCAAGCGUUGUUCGGAAUUACUGGGCGUAAAGGGCUCGUAGGUGGCCAACUAAGUCGGACGUGAAAUCCCUCGGCUUAACCGGGGAACUGCGUCCGAUACUGGUUGGCUUGAGUUUGGGAGAGGGAUGCGGAAUUCCAGGUGUAGCGGUGAAAUGCGUAGAUAUCUGGAGGAACACCGGUGGCGAAGGCGGCAGUCCUGGACCAAUACUGACGCUGAGGAGCGGAAAGC